UGUAAAAUAAGCUAAAUACCAAGCUUUUGGGUUCAUACCCCAAACAUGAAUGAGACAUUCUUUUACAG
rnacentral:tRNA from 1 species